rnacentral:rRNA from 1 species
AUUGAACGCUGGCGGCAUGCCUUACACAUGCAAGUCGAACGGCAGCACGGGAGCAAUCCUGGUGGCGAGUGGCGAACGGGUGAGUAAUAUAUCGGAACGUGCCCGGUCGUGGGGAUAACGUAGCGAAAGCUACGCUAAUACCGCAUACGAUCUACGGAUGAAAGCGGGGGAUCGCAAGGCCUCGCGCGAUUGGAGCGGCCGAUAUCAGAUUAGGUAGUUGGUGAGGUAAAGGCGUCACCAAAGCCGACGAUCUGUAGCUGGUCUGAGAGGACGACCAGCCACACUGGGACUGAGACACGGCCCAGACUCCUACGGGAGGCAGCAGUGGGAAUUUUGGACAAUGGCGCAAGCCUGAUCCAGCAAUGCCGCGUGCAGGAUGAA